CCUACGGGUGGCUGCAGUAGGGAAUAUUGCUCAAUGGUGGAAACCCUGAAGCAGCAACGCCGCGUGGAGGAUGAAGGUUUUCGGAUUGUAAACUCCUUUUGUUAGAGAAGAUAAUGACGGUAUCUAACCACUAAUGACCGGCUAACUCCGUGCCAGGAGCCGCGGUAAUACGGAGGGUGCAAGCGUUAUUCGGAAUCACUGGGCGUAAAGGGCGCGUAGGCGGGAUAGCAAGUUAGCUGUGAAAUCCUAUGGCUUAACCAUAGAACUGCAGUUGAAACUGUUAGUCUAGAGUAGGGGAGAGGUAGGUGGAAUGCUUGGUGUAGGGGUAAAAUGCGUAGAGAUCAAGAGGAAUACUCAUUGCGAAGGCGACCUGCUAGAACAUAACUGACGCUGAUGCGCGAAAGCGUGGGGAGCAAACAGGAUUAGAUACCCCUGUAGUC
rnacentral:rRNA from 1 species